AGCUGGGGAGAGUGAGAGAGACCCUGAGCAGUGGGCCCAGCACAGGGAGACACCUCAGCCAAGAGGCUCUGCAGGCCAGACUUGGAGGGGAUCAUAACCCCGACCGGGCAGGGGCGACGCUGGGAAGAAGUGUUAGGCCCAAAAACCGAAAAACAUGCUUAUCUCGGCUUCUGCUUGUUAUCCCAGUAAAGAUGCUUAUCUCAGUUCUCACUGUCGUUUCCCAUGCAUGAAGCUGCACGUAUACAGGAUGUAUAGAAGAUAUAUGGAAAAGGGGAGGGGGUUGGACGGACCUUGGGAAAGGAAUGUGAAGGACGGGAAGCUAAACAGAUGUAUCCUGAUUACUACUAGAACUGAAUUUAAACAAUGCAUAGGUUAGCAGAAUUUAGACAUGCUAAGUUGUUUGUCUCUCUGUAUAAAAGAAGCCCAGUUGUGCUUGUAAGGUGUGUUCCUCCCUCUGGCAUGAGUCGAGGGGGACACCCGCUCAGCUGACUGACCAAUAAAGAACUUGAAGCCGUCUUCUAGACUCCCGUGCCUCCUUGGGGUAAUUGGGCAGCUCCAGGGGGAAACGAGCCCAUUUGGCUAACAAUGGCGACUCCGCCAGGACUUCUCUCCCUGUAGAGGGCACUGACCGACGGCCGAGGGCGAUUCCGAGGAGUGGCCACCUCGAGCUGUUGCUUUGCUCGGGCCUCGGAUCGUCACAAUCGGCUAGGGCGGCUGCGUCCUCUCUGAAGAGAACUCUGAAGGACACGGAAGCAAGACGGCUUCAGAAGGAGGGGAAGUCUGACUGCCGGACGCAGCCACUUCGGGCGCUGCAUCGACGCGGUGCCUUUUCAGGCCCUUCCCUUGGACCAGCCCGUGUACCCGUUCCAGAUCGGUGAUCAGGUCCUCGUCAAGAAGUGGAAGCGUGACCCCCUUACACCACGGUGGGACAGCCCGCACACUGUCUUGCUCAUCAGCCAAGCUGCAGUCAAAGUUCUUGGGAGUGACAAAUGGACACACCAUACGCGGGUAAAGCGAUUUCUGAACCCUAACCCGGAGACUGAACUAGCGGAAGAGGACACCAGCCCUCUGCCCGCCCCGGCUCCGGACGCCCGGGGUGGCACAGGUGAAGACUCCACCUGGGAGUAUCAGUACUUGGAUGGACUAAAGGGACUGUUUAGAAAAAGAUAAUGAAAUUAUUGUUAAUAUCUUUGUUUAUGUGCUUCCACCACUAUUAUGGUUGGGAAAAUAGGUUUUUACAGCUGGGGGGAGACAAUAGCAAAAUCCAUUAACCUCAGUAACUGUUGGGUAUGCGGAGGCCCAGGGGAAUUAAAUGAAUGGCCUUGGGUAGCCCAGCCGGUACAGCCCAAAUGGUGGCUCAGCAAUUUGAGUAUAGUCCACGAUGGAACGGGGGUUUGGACUGAGGAUAGUAGCCCCUGGCGACUGUAUUCUUCUGGAAUGGGUAUUCUCUGCCUUAAUCGGACAAGGCGGGAGGGAGUGUACUUGGGAGAAAGCAAGUGUGAUUGGACUCUAUCCCCAGGGUUUGAUUGCUGGGACCCUUAUUGUCAUCUGUAUGACUGUUCUAAAUAUCAGGGGCAAGGGAGCCCAUUUACAACUUGAAUCGGAUAAUUAGGCUGCAAGCCAUUUUAGAAAUAAUAACUAAUCAGACGGCUGCAGCUCUUGAUCUUUUGGCCGAUCAGUUCACUCAGAUGAGGAAUGUGCUCUACCAGCACCAUCUAGUUCUUGAUUAUUUGCUGGCAAAAGAAGGGGGAAUCUGUGCAAAAUUAAACUAAUCUAAUUGCUGUUUACAAAUAGAUGAUAAUGGAAAGGCGGUAAAACAGCUAACAAAAGAAAUGAGGAAGCUAGCCCAUGUCCCGGUCCAAACAUGGGGUGGGUGGAAUAUGGACUGGUUCACGUCCUGGUUACCGCAACUGGGAUGGCUCCGAGAAGGCCUUCUUCAAUUUGUACUCUUUAUUACAACCCUAUUAACCCUAGCUUGCUUUGCUCCCUGUGUAGUUGCAUUAGUCCGACGAAUGGCUAGUCAAAUUAUACACCAACAAAUGAUGGCCCUAUACCAGCCGGUGAAGGCUGAGGAUUGGGGGCCAUAAGGCUCUCAAAAUGCUUUUUAGGGGGGAAUCUUGUUAGGCCCAAAAACCGAAAAACAUGCUUAUCUCGGCUUCUGCUUGUUAUCCCAGUAAACAUGCUUAUCUCAGUUCUCACUGUCGUUUCCCAUGCAUGAAGCUGCACGUAUACAGGAUGUAUAGAAGAUAUAUGGAAAAGGGGAGGGGGUUGGACGGACCCUGGGAAAGGAAUGUGAAGGACGGGAAGCUAAACAGAUGUAUCCUGAUUACUACUAGAACUGAAUUUAAACAAUGCAUAGGUUAGCAGAAUUUAGACAUGCUAAGUUGUUUGUCUCUCUGUAUAAAAGAAGCCCAGUUGUGCUUGUAAGGUGUGUUCCUCCCUCUGGCAUGAGUCGAGGGGGACACCCGCUCAGCUGACUGAUCAAUAAAGAACUUGAAGCCGU